AGGGUGUAAACGCUGCGGGCUUGGUGUUGGGGGUCCUUUGAGGGCCGCCCAGUGCCGGAGAGAAGUUGUUAAGCCUACUGCUUGGGGAGUACGUCCGCAAGGAUGAAACUUAAAGGAAUUGGCGGGGGAGCACCGCAACGGGAGGAGCGUGCGGUUCAAUUGGAUUCAACGCCGGACAACUCACCAGGAGCGACGGUUACAUGAAGGCCAGGCUGAUGACCUUGCCUGAUUUUCCGAGAGGUGGUGCAGUGGCGUGUGACUGU
rnacentral:rRNA from 1 species